rnacentral:ncRNA from 1 species
AGUUUGAUUCUUGCUGCUUUGUUCAGUGUUUUUUUGUUUUAUAUGUGAGUUUUUGCGUGGUUGAAUUUUCUUUUCUCUUAAUGGGGUUUGGUCUAUUAGAUAUUUAUUUUGUUCACAUUAUUUAUUUUUAUAUCUUUUGGUCUCAUUGAUUUAGCAAUAAUUUUUAAGUGCCGGCUAAGUUUGUGCCAGCAGCCGCGGUUAUACAUUAGGCACUACUGAACACUUUCGGUUGUGCAGUUGUAUAUUAUUCUGUAUUUUGUUGUUUUUAAUUAUUUGGUUUAUGGGUAAAAUCUUUAAUAUUUUUAUUUGCAUUGUUUAUUUUAUUAGGCUGCGAAAUCUUUGUUGUAAACUAGGAUUAGAUACCCUAUUAUUUUUGAUGUUAAUCGUGCUUUCCUGGGUAGUAUUAGUUAUGUUCUUGAAACCUAAAGAAUUUGGCGGUAUUUUAUUCCUUCCAGAGGAAUCUGCCCCUUAAUCGAUAAUCCACGUUGGACCUUACUUAAUUUAUAUUUGUUUGUAUACCGCCGUUGUAGUGAAGAUCUCCUUAGUGUUUAUUAAAUUUUCUGAUUUCUUUAUUUUGGAUUUAUUUCAGGUCAAGGUGCAGCUUGUUUUUAAGUGUGAGGUGGAUUACAUUAUAUAUUGUUUUGUGGAUUGUCAGUUGGAAUUUGAUAUGAAAUUGGAUUUGGUUGUAAUUUAUUUUAUGAUGUUUUUAUGAUAUUGGUUCUAAAAUAUGUACACAUCGCCCGUCGCUCUCAUUUGUCAUUGAGAUAAGUCGUAACAAAGUGGUCGUACCGGAAGGUGUGGCU